rnacentral:lncRNA from 13 species
GAGCAAACCAGUGGGGGAAUCCUGGAAACGAGUUUCAUGGCCUGGAUGGAUGAAACAUCCUCUCCUCUAUCACCUAAAGAUCACAGAGGCAGGUACUCACACAUAAAAGGCAUCCUAGAAAGCAUCUUUGUCAGCUCACACUGCAGACAUACUCCUCUCUUUUGUUUCUUUUGACAGGAAUCAACUCCUAGAAACAGCUCAAUCACCUAAAAAAGGGGAGGCAUCAGGUCCUGCAGCACCACUGGAAUCCCAGUGCUGGUUUCUCAGUCCUCUGAAAUGUGAAGACUUGAGGGACUGCUCUCCUCCAGCUCUGCAUUCACCUCCUCUGAGCUUUUCUGCUCCUCAGAAAGAUGCAAAACCUUCCUCCAAGGACUCAUCUUUUGGACUUUCUCCACACGGAAGCAAGCACGAUCAAGUGAGAACCAUUCAUAGUCUGUCCAAGGAACUUGCAGAAAAGAUUGACAUGGCAAGGGAGAGGCUGGGUGCAGCAAGCUGGGUUAAAGGCUCUGCUGACAAACAAUCAACAGACACAACUCUGGACCUCUACAGUGAGCCUCCUUCUGCCCGAGAACCUGAGACUUCCAGGGAUGAGCAAGACAGGACAAUGACUGUACAAAUGCUUCUGGACACCACAGAUCCUGAUGUGCUACAUGAGGCAUCCCAUAGGGAAUGUCAUGGACUGGGCAGGAUUGGCCUGGUGGGCAGCACUGAGGGAGCAACAGCCGUGGACAGACAGAAGGAAAUGCCAACUCCUUUGCCUGGUGGGAAUGCUGAGAGGGAAGAAUUGCCCUGGAUCACUCAUAGUGCAGGACAGAGGCACCUCAGCUCUGCAGGAGACCUGAGGAACACAUUGCAAGGUUUCCCUGUGCAUAAGGGCUCCAAGGUGGACGUAAGUCUGUGGCAUGAAAAGCCAAUAACCAGCCCAGCCUCUCCAGCUCACAGAUUCCCCGCUAGAAGCCCGCAGGGAGUACUCACAGCACGGAGGGAUCACUAUGGAUGUGAGACUACUUUGAAAGUUCAGAACCAAGAGGAAAUGGCCAACCAGCCUCGUGGAGAGAGCCUGAGGAUCUGGGACAGCCUGAGCUUCCAGCCCUCUGCCACUCUGAGCACUGACGGCUUUGAGCAGGACUUGGGUGAGGGAGACCUUGGCCACCCAGAGCUGGAAGAAAAACACAGGAGCCAUCUGGACAUUUUGAGGCAAACCUCCCUACUACUGGCUCACAAACUGAAGCUUCAGCAGCUCCAGCAGAAACAGCAGCUUAUGGUGCUGAGGGAGAAAGCAAAGCAAGAGGUUCAGGAAAGCCACAGGUUUUUGAGGGACCUGCUGCAGCACAAUUCAGAGGUAAGUCAUGAUUUCAGAUCCUGUGUCAACACCUCUAGGCCUCAACUCUCAUGA